rnacentral:lncRNA from 10 species
UGAGGCGCCACCGGUGCCCAGCAACCUCCCCAGGCUGUGGUUGUGACCUGAGGACGCGUGUGUCCCCGCCCUCAGGCCACCGCUACGCGACCCUGAGUGCACCUUCAAGAAGGCCGGGCACGUUUCUGGGCGGGCGUGGGGGGUGCCUGAUAUCUCCGCUCUAUUUUACAGUUACUCCCCUGCUGGUGCCUCCCUCCUUGGCGCGCUUCCCACCUGCGAUCGGCGCCCUCUUCGCAGUCACGAACUCGCCAGCAGCUAGCAGCACUGACUAGUAGGAGGGCCCGCCGGAGGAGAGGAAGCCCCAGAGAGAUUGGUGAGGGUGAUUUCCCAGGAAGACGCAGUGUGCUCUGACUUCUGUGACAGUGAGCAACGGGACCAGUGGAUGUCCAGAUGCUGGCAAUGAGUAGGCCUUCCCUACGCUGGGUGGCGUCCACACCCUCCGGCUUCCAUUGCCUGGGUCUCCUGGAGGUGGUUUGCUGGAUGAAUACCGCAUGCACAGAGGCUGGCCUUGGGUUUGAAUAUGGCAGCCAGUGGACAGCAUGUGCUUCAGUUAUGAGACUGCCCAGGAGAUGCUUCUUCCAAGGCAGAGCACGUGCAGAGUCCAGUGCUGGAGAGGCCGGGUGCGCAGUUGACCCAUUUCCAGUUCUGUUUUCCCUCUCAUGUUCCUCUGUCCCCAUCUAGGACAUGCUCUGGAGUCAGAAGACAGCGAAAAGAGAAGCAGAAGCCCCGGUGGCAAGAGUCUGAAGCUGGAAAGGAGGAGAACAUGAAACAUUGCUUGAAGACAAUGGCCGAGACAGCAGGUCCCACCCUGCACAGCCACCAGCAUCUCUCCCCUCAGCCCUGUCUCCUCUUCUGCAGUUGGGAUCUGCACAUUUAAGCCUGAAAUUGUCCUGUGAAGUGAAGUAUGAUCGGACAGCCUCUUUUCAGCUUUUAUGACAAUGGAGACAGAGGAAUUGUGGCUCUUGCCAAGGUCACAGGAUUGGAAUACAGAGCCAAGCCACCCCAGGACAUGCAAGAGCCUCAGAAGGGAAAAAAGCCCAGCAGGAAGGGAGAACAAGUAGCCUCUGUCCUGAAGUUGUAACAGCCAGGGGCCAGGAUGGAGGAGGAGGACCCCAUAAUCUGCCCAUCUGGGACUUGGCAGGGGACCUGGGAAAAUGUACCCCAACCCAUCCCUUAAGGGCCUUUGUCUUUGGCCCAUUGGCCUAGCAUCUACUUCUUCACCGUGUCUGUUCUUGUCACACCUAGUCAGGUCUGUUUGGGUCUGAGGUGCAUGGAACAUUCUGGGUAGGCCUCCAGCAAACGGAAGCUCUUCACCGUGUUUCCAGCCUGGGACCAAGGGCAGCAUACUGGCAAAGUUGCCAAAGCAAGGGACUCCAGCCUCUUAGGAGUUAAUGACUCCCUCUCCCCAGCUGUCCUCCCCUUGGUGCUCCUCUUCCUCCCUCCUCCUGCUCACAGCAGGCAGGGCCUAGACCCGGGAGCCAUGCUGCUGUGCUGUUGCCAGGGGAGCACGGAGGCAGAUCUGAGCUAUGCAGGGAAAAGGCCCAGCCUGUCAAAGUGUCUGAGAUGAACCGCCGCCGUCCCUGUGCAGCUGGGCUCAGACGUGUCUCAGCUCUUGUUCUGUGCCUGAGAAUGGCGAAACCCAGUGAGGUUCAAGGGCAAACUCGCUAUUCAUUAGUCAGGGGUUCUUGACGUCCCGUCUCUCCCAGGGAUGAGUUCCCCCCUCCUCUUUCUCCCCCUCCUAUGACACAUUCCUGGGUGCCUUUGGUGAGGACUGCACACCCUCCUCCUGCCUAGCCCCCUCUCCAAAGGCCCCUGAAUAAACUCCCCCCAAGGAGACCAGGCAGGGCAGAGACAAUGGCUGCAGGAAAUCAUUCAGGCGGGACAUGCUGGCCUGCCCUCCACCCAGUCCCCCUGUGGGCCCCACUCCCUUCUGAUUCAGGGCACCCUUGGGCCCCCAGCCUAUACAGGCCUGGACAGGAAGAAACCACUGGGAACCACCCUAAGGACAACAUGCUAGUCCAGUGCCAUUCUUCGCUGGCUCUGUGGGUGCCUUUGUGGCCUGUACCGACUGGCUGGCUAAUUUUGUGGUUUCUGUACCAUCACAUGCCUAUUUUAAGACACUCUCCAGCACUGUCGGUUAGGGAGUGUAAAUUUUGCAAUAUUUUCUGAAAUGUGGCAAUAUCAAAAUGUAAAAGGCACACAUACUUGGUCACAAACAAAUGGCACUAUUUACUCUGUGGGCAUAUUUGUAAAAGUUGCCAAAGAAUUAUAUACAAGGAUGUUCAUCAGAGCAUUUCUUUUGAAGAGUAAAGAAAUGGACAUGAACCUGUGGUCCGUUCAUACGGUGGAAUACCUAUGCAGCUGUAAAAAUCAGUGUGGUAGAUCUCCGUAUAUGAGUUGAUGUGGAAGGUUGGCCAGUUCACAUGAUAAGGUGAAUAGAAUAAGUUACAGAACAGGCUGUAGAGUAUGAUCUUAUUUGUAGAUGUUUAAAACUGAGUCAUAAGUAUGCUUAUAUACAGAUCGUUUCUGGAAGUAUGUACUGGAAGUCUACCUCUGGGGAGUGGGGAUGGGGGAGUGCACUCUUCUAUACUGUUAUAUUUUCUUUUCAUGCUCCUAAGGUACUUUUAUUGGAAGAUGUAAAGCGGUUCAAUGUAAUAGGCUUAACUUCUGUCAACUAAGUUGGCGUGGGUGCUUUAAGAGGGUGGUAGUGAUGUUGCUGGAGAAAGUAUCCCACAGUCACUGGUGGCUUCAGCCACGGGCCAUUUUGGGGCCUAAUAAUCACAUAUCAUCAUGGUUGCUAGUGUUAAUCGAAAACCUACUAAGUGCCAGGCUUACUGUCUCUGGGUCUUGCUUACGUGGAUGUCAUUUUUCCAGUUGCACCAAAUCGAAAGAGGUUAAUUGGUUUGUUGGAGUUCCUUUGUAGGUGAAGGGCAGAGCCAGGAGCUUGGCUAGGGACAGGGGAGGUGAGUGGGGGAUGGUGGAUAGGUCUUGGCUCCCAGUUUCCUUCUGGGCAGACAUUGCCCCUCUGCCCUGAGGACCUGCUUGUUUGGGGGAAGAGGCCUUUAGAGGCACCAGGGUCAUGCCAGGUGUUGGACAUGGUGAACUGGGAAGUGCUCCCAUCUGGCCACAGCGCAGAAGUAUCACCGUGCUGGGGGAUGGGGAACAGGGCUGUGAAUGGGCCUAUUUGCAUAAGCAGCAUGUGUCUGGAGAGAAAGACAUCACAGAGCAGAAGAGUGCGGGUGCCCAGGAGUGCACUUGCCACCCCUACUUCAUCCCUGAAAGAGUAAAUGGCCUGGAAGGUGUCUCUGAGAGGUAAUGCCGCACACCACCCUCCCUGGGGGCAGGGUCAGGCUACACCUGCCUUAGGUCGGGGGCUGCAGCAGCCUGAGAGCUCUCAGUAGGGCCUCAGUAGCCUGGGAGGGAGCAGGGGCAGGGGGCAGGGAAAGAGGCGUAAUGGGGCUGUCCAGAGGGGCCUGGGAAACCUGGUCCCUGAGGCCUGGGCACAGCUACAAUCACUUCAAAUUGGCUGUGGGGCCAGUGGACUGGGAAGGAAAAAAGCAAUAAGAGUGACCAAGUGCAGAAGGCUGUCAGGUCCCAGGUCACAUGCCUUAGUGCAGUGACUCCUCAUCAUUUUAUGGGGUGUGGGUGUCGUUGGUACACCCAUUUUACAGAUGAGGACACCGAGGCCCAGAAAAGUUAAGUUACAUGUCCUAAGUCACACAGCUUGUAAGUGCCAGAACUGAGAUCAAAACCAAGUCUCUUUGACUUUAAAGUCUGUACUCUGACCCCAAAGAGAUCCUGUUUGGCCACUUAUAGGAGGUCCCUAAAGCUGCAGACUCCCCUUGCCGGCACCCACAUAUAGAGACAUUAACCCUUCCCCUGCAGGGUCACCUCAAAUAGUCUUUUAGCUGGGCUUCUCCUGCAAUUCCACCUAAUGCCAUCCCCUGGGUUUUGCCCAAACCUGAACUGGGCAGUGGGGUGAGAGGAGGGGUUUACAGGGUUACAGAGCCUCAUACAGAUAGGAGCCCAUGGCUGCUGGUCAUCUGCAUUCCUGCAGGAUUGGCUGUUCCUUGGGGUCCUUGGCAGGAAAAUGAGGAUUGCUCCGAGGCCUGCUCCAGUACUUCCCAGAGGCUGGCCUGGUGUGGGGCUCUGGGAAGGCUGAGGCUGGAGAAGCGUAAGUAGGAGGGCAGAGAUGGCACUCAGGUAGCUUGAAUCACCAGGACCCUUCCAAGCCCCACAGGUUCUGAGGGAGUACUAGGGCCAGCUCUGGGAGAGGUCUCUUCCUAUGCUGUGAACCCCCUGCCUUUCUUGCAGCCUACAACGAAUAAAUUUUC